CGGCGCCAGUUGCACCGGACAAAGUCCGUAGUAAUCCAGAAAGUUCCGGACAAACUCCAGAAUCAGGAGAUGAAGACCGGCCCGAAGGUCCUCGACAUACAGAGCCACCUGACCCGCGGGCGGGUUGUAGACCCAUCCCCCGGCCCCAGGGGUGAAGAGUCGGAACUGCUCCGGGAUACAGUACUGAUCCCGAAGCCGAUCGACAUUCGGCCUCGAAAGUGAAGAGGCCUCCACCUCCGGGGUCGACCGAAGAUCAUCAGUCGGAUUCUCCGACUGAGCUCCCCGAGGAGAAGUCCUGACCAUGACGCCAGAACCAGGAAGAAGGAAAAGAUGGAGAAGAAGAAGAAGGGGAGAGAAUUCCAAAAGAAGCAAGGAGAAGGCGAAAGGAGACAAAAGUCUCGAAGGGACUUCUCAAGGAAUGGGAGCAGAAGCAACUACCUGGGACAAGGGGGACCCCUCGGGCAGAGUCUCUACAGC
rnacentral:lncRNA from 1 species